CCCCUUUUGACAACAUCCGAUGAUUGCUAGCCGAAGUCCCAACACCCACGGUUGAGAAAAAUAAGGAGAAGGAUAGAGAGGGAAUCUUACCCUUUUUCUGACAAUCUAUGGCCUUGAUUCUAGCAGGCAUGAUGGAAGUUUUUCAAGAGAAGAAGAAAGCGAGGAUGACUUUUCUGACGAUGGGAUGCGGCCGGAGCUUAUGGGGUUCAAAGGGAGGCUUGGCCUCCUUUUAUAGAGGGCCAAAGGGAGGAGUC
rnacentral:lncRNA from 1 species